rnacentral:rRNA from 1 species
UGGGGAAUUUUGGACAAUGGGCGCAAGCCUGAUCCAGCCAUGCCGCGUGUGGGAAGAAGGCCUUCGGGUUGUAAACCACUUUUGUCAGGGAAGAAACGGCUCUUACUAAUAUUAGGAGCUAAUGACGGUACCUGAAGAAUAAGCACCGGCUAACUACGUGCCAGCAGCCGCGGUAAUACGUAGGGUGCAAGCGUUAAUCGGAAUUACUGGGCGUAAAGCGUGCGCAGGCGGCUUUGCAAGACAGGUGUGAAAUCCCCGGGCUUAACCUGGGAAUUGCGCUUGUAACUGGCAGGCUAGAGUGUGGCAGAGGGGGUGGAAUUCCACGUGUAGCAGUGAAAUGCGUAGAUAUGUGGAGGAACACCGAUGGCGAAGGCAGCCCCCUGGGUUAACACUGACGCUCAUGCACGAAAGCGUGGGGAGCAAACAGGAUUAGAUACCCAAGUAGUCCCUGAGCGGGCUGGCAAGGCGCAU